UGAAAAAUUACACAGUGUUUACAUAAUCUUGGUUAUAAUCUUAUCAAUGGACCAAUGAGACAAAGACAUGGUAACAGAUCAGCCAAUGAGGUGUGGUGUUAGAAGGAGAGCGACUCCAAAUGGAGGAAGGAGAGCGGCUCCAGAGUCAGGGAACUGGGUCUGGAUUUUGGCCUCUGGACCUUCAUUCCAUGCUGAAAAGUUCCUGGUUGUUGGUCUGACUUCAGUCUGAAAGCGUCAUUCAGUUGGAUUUUCUGCAGCACAAAUAACCUUCCCAGAAUGCUAGACACCAAGAAUCUCAUGGACUUCUUCUUCUUCCACAUGAGUUUUGCAUAUAUUUGCAUGUUAAUGAGCAAGCGACCAAUCAGAGGAGUCAAGUAAUUAAAAAUUCCAUUGAGUCUUUAUAAA